rnacentral:rRNA from 1 species
UACGUAGGGUGCGAGCGUUAAUCGGAAUUACUGGGCGUAAAGCGUGCGCAGGCGGUUUUGUAAGCCAGAUGUGAAAUCCCCGGGCUUAACCUGGGAAUGGCAUUUGGGACUGCAAGGCUUGAGUGCGGCAGAGGAGACUGGAAUUCCCGGUGUAGCAGUGAAAUGCGUAGAUAUCGGGAGGAAUACCGAUGGCGAAGGCAGGUCUCUGGUCCGGUACUGACGCUGAGGUGCGAAAGCGUGGGGAGCAAACAGG